GACGAACGCUGGCGGCGUGCCUAAUACAUGCAAGUAGGACGCAGUUGCGAACGGGUGAGUAACGCGUAGGUAACUGCCCAUUAGAGGGGGAUAACUAUUGGAAACGAUAGCUAAUACCGCAUACUAGUAGAUGGACCUGCUUUGUAUUAGCUAGUAGGUAGGGUAAUGGCCUACCUAGGCGACGGUACAUAGCCGAACUGGGAGGGGGGUCCGGCACAAUGGGACUGGGAAUCGACCCAGACUCCUACGGGAGGCAGCAGUAGGGAAUCUUCGGCAAUGGGGGGAACGCUGACCGAGCCACGGCGCGUGAGUGAAGAAGGUUUUCGGGUCGUAAAGCUCUGUUGUUAAGGAAGCGGUACUUAAACAGAAAGGGACGGCUAACUACGUGCCAGCAGCCGCGGUAAUUC
rnacentral:rRNA from 1 species